GAUGAACGCUGACAGAAUGCUUAACACAUGCAAGUCAACUUGAAUUUGGGUUUUUAACUUAGGUUUGGGUGGCGGACGGGUGAGUAACGCGUAAAGAACUUGCCUCACAGCUAGGGACAACAUUUGGAAACGAAUGCUAAUACCUAAUAUUAUGAUAAUAGGGCAUCCUAUAAUUAUGAAAGCUAUAAGCGCUGUGAGAGAGCUUUGCGUCCCAUUAGCUAGUUGGAGAGGUAACGGCUCACCAAGGCGAUGAUGGGUAGCCGGUCUGAGAGGGUGAUCGGCCACAAGGGGACUGAGACUCGGCCCUUACUCCUACGGGAGGCAACAGUGGGGAAUAUUGGACAAUGGACCGAGAGUCUGAUCCAGCAAUUCUGUGUGCACGAUGAAGUUUUUCGGAAUGUAAAGUGCUUUCAGUUGGGAAGAAACAAAUGACGGUACCAACAGAAGAAGUGACGGCUAAAUACGUG
rnacentral:rRNA from 1 species